rnacentral:sRNA from 1 species
UGUCUUCUUCUUCGUAUU